rnacentral:rRNA from 1 species
AUUGAACGCUGGCGGCAGGCCUAACACAUGCAAGUCGAACGAGUGGCGGACGGGUGAGUAAUGUCUGGGAAACUGCCUGAUGGAGGGGGAUAACUACUGGAAACGGUAGCUAAUACCGCAUACCAUCAGAUGUGCCCAGAUGGGAUUAGCUUGUUGGUGGGGUAACGGCUCACAAAGGCGACGAUCCCUAGUUGGUCUGAGAGGAUGACCAGCCACACUGGAACUGAGACACGGUCCAGACUCCUACGGGAGGCAGCAGUGGGGAAUAUGGCACAAUGGGCGCAACCCUGAUGCAGUCAUGCCGCGUGUGUGAUGAAGGCCUGCGGGUUGUAAAGUACUUGCAGCGGGGAGGCGUUACCCGCAGAAGUAGCACCGGCUAACUUCGUGCCAGCAGCCGCGGUAAUUC